AUGGGUUAUUGUUCCUCUUGGUCACAAGGGUGUAUGCACCGAGGGGUAGAGGAGGGGAAAAGCGUCAGACGUUCAGACUGUCAGCUCUGAGCAUGUUGCUUGUGUUUGCUGAAUGAACUGCAUGUCUCCAAAAUAUAUUUUGCAUAAUAAAGUGGACCAUUUACAACUCACUCAGGUCUGAGAAUAUCCUUUCCAACAAAGAACCUAGGGUCCAAGUCGGGACCAACAGUAUGGCAAGCCAGCCAGGAGAAGAGGAAAGUAAUUGAACGGAACCAGUCAGAACAGGAGACAACGGAGUCUGGGCGCCCUAAAAUAAAGAUCUAUACGGAGAGUCUCCACUGAGAGCAGAAGUGAUGAAAAAGUUGCAAGACAAAACCACCCCAGAGGAAAGAACAUUGUGGGCAAGCAGGGGAGGGAGAAAGACAGAGGGGAUUUGCUGGACCAUCAACUAGGGCUCUAGCUGUUUCUCUAAGCAGAUCGGUGAACAGACAGCCGUCCUGACUGUGCCCCAAACUGAGUGGGUCCUCCUGAGGGUGAUCAAAUGAAAGUGGAACCAACCGCGGUGGACGGGCCCCUGGAAGGUGGUGGAGAGAACGAGCCACGCAGUUCGGUUGGAAGGAAAGGGGGGACACUCUGUACAACUGGAGCCAGUGCACCCUCGCAGAGGAGCCCAGCAGGAGACUGGCCGAAGUGAGGACGUCGCUACAAGACAACGCCCCUGACCCGGCUGGGGAAGGGCACACACCGGCCCAGGCACCAACAGAAGGGGCAGAAUAAUCCCCUGCCUGAGGCCCACUGACACGAGACAGUCCACUCUCGUGUUUGAAGGAAGACAAGCAGGUCGCCGCCCCUAGGACAAAGACACUGACAAUUGCGAGAACAGAGAGGGUUUGAAACGCCUUGUUUAGAGGUUCUGAAACUAGUACAAGAAUAACUGUUCCGCUAAAGAUAUAAAGAUGGGUCCUCUGGGGUGGAGGGGAAGAUUAGGAACUGUUGUUUUUUCAUUUGUAUUAGUCACUGGGAUUUGGGUGUUGAACAAAGGGUCACAGACACAUGUUAAUGACUGCACUGUUUUAUUAUAGGAACACAGCAUCUACUCUGCGUAUCGAAUAGAACAGAACAGAGCGCCCGUCUAAACAGAAUAAGACUUGCAGGUGUUUCCUAACAUGCUGAUGGGUUAUUGUUCCUCUUGGUCACAACGGUGUAUGCACCGAGGGGUAGAGAAGAGUAUAAGAGAAAAGAGAAGAGGAAAAGAGUCAGACAUUCAGACUGUCAGCUCUGAGCAUGUUGCUUGUGUUUGCUGAAUGAACUGCAUGUCUCAAGAAAUAUAUUUUGCAUAAUAAA